UGUCUCCUCUAUUCUUCAUCUGAAAAUAGAUACAAGCCCGUUUUGCCACGGGCUUUUUUUC
rnacentral:ncRNA from 1 species